rnacentral:rRNA from 1 species
GACGAACGCUGGCGGCGUGCUUAACACAUGCAAGUCGAACGGAAAGGCCCUGCUUGCCGGGUACUCGAGUGGCGAACGGGUGAGUAACACGUGGGUGAUCUGCCCUGCACUUCGGGAUAAGCUUGGGAAACUGGGUCUAAUACCGGAUAGGAACCAUCUUUAGUGUGGUGGUUGGAAAGUUUUUUCGGUGUAGGAUGAACUCGCGGCCUAUCAGCUUGUUGGUGGGGUAAUGGCCUACCAAGGCGGCGACGGGUAGCCGGCCUGAGAGGGUGUACGGCCACAUUGGGACUGAGAUACGGCCCAGACUCCUACGGGAGGCAGCAGUGGGGAAUAUUGCACAAUGGGCGCAAGCCUGAUGCAGCGACGCCGCGUGGGGGAUGAAGGCCUUCGGGUUGUAAACUCCUUUCGCUAGGGACGAAGCUUUGUUGUGACGGUACCUAGAUAAGAAGCACCGGCUAACUACGUG